UACGAAGGGUGCAAACGUUGCUCGGAAUUAUUGGGCGUAAAGCGCGUGUAGGCGGCUUUGCAAGUCGGGUGUGAAAGCCCUCAGCUUAACUGAGGAAGUGCGCCCGAAACUGCUUGGCUUGAGUACCGGAGAGGAUGGCGGAAUUCCCCAAGUAGAGGUGAAAUUCGUAGAUAUGGGGAGGAACACCGGUGGCGAAGGCGGCCAUCUGGACGGAUACUGACGCUGAGACGCGAAAGCGUGGGUAGCAAACAGG
rnacentral:rRNA from 1 species